GACCUAAACCAAACGCAAGUUUGGCAUGGUCGUCAAAUCAACAAAGAGAAACAGCUCGUCAUGAGUACUUCUCUUUGUUGUCAUUGCUGGAAACGGCAGUGGGUAGCUCUCGGGCUGCC
rnacentral:sRNA from 12 species